rnacentral:rRNA from 1 species
GAUGAACGCUAGCGACAGGCCUAACACAUGCAAGUCGAGGGGUAUAAGUAGCUUGCUACUUAGAGACCGGCGCACGGGUGAGUAACGCGUAUGCAACCUACCUUUUACUGGGGGAUAGCCCAAAGAAAUUUGGAUUAAUACCGCAUAAUAUAUUGGAAUCGCAUGGUUUAAAUAUUAAAACUUCGGUGGUAAAAGAUGGGCAUGCGUAGCAUUAGUUUGUUGGGGAGGUAACGGCUCACCAAGACUAUGAUGCUUAGGGGGUCUGAGAGGAUAGUCCCCCCCACUGGUACUGAGACACGGACCAGACUCCUACGGGAGGCAGCAGUGAGGAAUAUUGGUCAAUGGGCGCAAGCCUGAACCAG